rnacentral:lncRNA from 1 species
GCGCCUCUCCCGCCACACCUCCCUGCAAGCUGAGGGAGCCGGCUCCUGCCUUGGCCAGGCUAGAAAGGGGCUCCCACAGUGCAGGGGCGGGCUGAAGGGCUCCUCAAGUGCCACCAAAGUGGGAGCCCAGGCAGAGGAGGUGCCGAGAGCGAGCGAGGGCUGCGAGGACUGCCAGCAGCUGUCACCUCUCGUUACCAUCACUCCUAGUGACCAUUUCGGAUAAUCCACCUUGCCUCAUCAAACCAGAAAACAAUUCAAACCUGGCCUCCUUCUAACUGGAAGCCACAUUUUAAGAACUUAUUGUGAAGAACUGGAAAGCCUCCAAUAGAACAGAAGCUAAAAGCAGAAAUUAUAAAAGCUGUUACACCUACUCAGCUCUAUUACAUGUUGGAAAAACUGAACCAGAGAAACAAUUACAUACACUCUUGUCUUCUGGAAAAGCUGAAUUGGGUUUUGGUCUGAAUCAAUAGCACGGGACCUGGCAUGGAGCAGCAUUCAAAAUAUUGGGUAGAAGGAAAAAGGAAGAAAGAAGGGAAGGACAGGGAAGCAAGGAAAUAAAGGAAAUCAGGCUAUAUAUACAGUGAUGCCCAUCUACCCCUGAGAUCUAAAAAUCUAAGAUGAAAACGAGCACACAGUCUUGGCAGCAUUGGGGUAACAGACUAUGAAAGAAGAAAUCAGAUUGGAAAAUUCAGUAUAUCAAUGAAGAAAAUAAUCACUCAAGGAGAGGAAUAAACAGCAAAACAAUCUAUAUAUUUAAUUAUAGAUACAAUUGUUUCAAUGCUGAUUAUUCAUCCUUAUAUAACUGUCUACAGCUAUUUAGGGUUGUCUUCAUCCAUUUUGUGUUGCCAUUGCAGAAUACGUGAAACUGGGUAAUUUGUAAAGAAAAGAGAUUUUUUAACUUAUGGGUUCUGCAGGAUGGGAAGUUCAAGAAACAUGACACCAGCAUCUGCUUGGUUUCUGUUGAGGACUUUCAUGCUUAUAUCACAACAUGGCAGAAGGUUAAAGGGGGAGUAGACAUGUGCAAAUAGGCAAAACCUGAGGGGCAUCUUGGCUUUAUAACAACCCACUCUUGGAGGACUAAUUCAUUCUUGAGAGAACUAAUCUGGUCUUGCCAGAGAAAAAAUUCACUCACUGCCUACUGUGAGAAUAGCACUAAGCCAUCCAUGAGAGUGGAGCCCCAUCACUCAAACACCUCCCAUUAGGCUCUACAGCUUACAGAUUAUACCUCCUAACAUUGCCACAGUGGGAAACAAAUUUCAAGAUGAGAUUUGGUGGGGACAGACCAUAUCUAAACAAAGAGUAAACAAGGGUAAACAACUUUUGAGAACAUACUUGUGAUCCUUUAUUUCAACCCAGAAUGAUGCCAGAAUUUUGGAGAUGGGGCUCAGAGCAAAUCAGUAAGUUACAAUUCUCAAGUUUCACAGGGAAGUGGGAGUGAGAGACACAUCAUGGAGGACCACGCGACUCUCAGUUACACUGGGUGAAUUGUCUUCAUUGAAUUCCCGCACCAUGCAGACUCAUUUAACGGUAGUUCUUCCAAAGCUGCUUUUCUGCUUUGCUUUUGGAAUACUACUUUAUCUAAAUUUUCAUCUACCCUUUCAAUUCCUAUGCUUCUUGUGUUGAUUUCUCUUUUCCGACUUCUCAGAUUUUUAAUCUCAUUUUUAAACAUGAGAAUUCUCUGAGGUCUAUUUCUUGACCCUUUGUCCUCUUUUUAACUAUCCCUUGGGAAACUUGCACAAUCUAAAUGACUAACUAGAACUUAUGAGAUUAUGAGCCAGAUCUCUCCCUGCUUAUGAGCCCAUUUCAAUUAGAUGUCUCAGCAUCAUUGUAAGUUAAAAUGCAUAAAAUCCAAAACAAUAAAUUUUUCUCAAACCAA